UUCCGGUUGAUCCUGCCGGACCCCACUGCUAUCGGGAUGGGACUAAGACAUGCUAGUUGUGCGCCUCCUAGCCAUGGUGGAGGCGCGGCGCACAGCUCAGUAGCACGUGGCUAACCUGCCCUUGGGACAGGGAUAACCCCGGGAAACUGGGGCUAAUCCCUGGUAGGUGAGGAAUCCUGGAAUGGAUCCUCGCCGAAAGGGCGUCUAGGGCAUGCUUCUAGGCGCUGCCCAAGGAUGGGGCCGCGGCCGAUCAGGUUGUUGGUGAGGUAACGGCUCACCAAGCCUUCGACCGGUGCGGGCCGUGAGAGCGGGAGCCCGGAAAUGGGCACUGAGAACAAGGGCCCAGGCCCUACGGGGCGCAGCAGUCGCGAAACCUCCGCAAUACGCGAAAGCGUGACGGGGCCAUCCCGAGUGCCGUCCGCUGAGGACGGCUUUUCCCAGUGUACACAGCUGGGGGAAUAAGGAGAGGGCAAGCCUGGUGUCAGCCGCCGCGGUAACACCAGCUCUCCGAGUGGUGGGGACGCUUAUUGGGCCUAAAGCAUCCGUAGCCGGCUGGGCAAGUCCCUCGUUAAAUCCAGCGAUUCAAUCGUUGGACUGCGGGGGAUACUGUCCAGCUAGGGGGCGGGAGAGGCCGACGGUAUUCCCGGGGUAGGGGUGAAAUCCUAUAAUCCCGGGAGGACCACCAGUGGCGAAGGCUGUCGGCUGGAACGCGCCCGACGGUGAGGGAUGAAAGCUGGGGGAGCGAACCGGAUUAGAUACCCGGGUAGUCCCAGCCGUAAACGAUGCAGGCUAGGUGUUGGAGCGGCUACGAGCCGCUUCAGUGCCGCAGGGAAGCCGUUAAGCCUGCCGCCUGGGGAGUACGGCCGCAAGGCUGAAACUUAAAGGAAUUGGCGGGGGAGCACCACAAGGGGUGAAGCUUGCGGUUUAAUUGGAUUCAACGCCGG
rnacentral:rRNA from 1 species